rnacentral:misc_RNA from 1 species
GAUGAAGAACGCAGCGAAAUGCGAUAAGUAAUGUGAAUUGCAGAAUUCAGUGAAUCAUCGAAUCUUUGAACGCACCUUGCGCCCUUUGGCCAUUCCGAAGGGCAUGCCUGUUUGAGUAUCAUGAACACCUCAACUCUUCAUGGUUUUCCAUGAUGAGCUUGGACUUUGGGGGUCUUGCUGGCCUGUGGGUCGGCUCCUCUCAAAUGAAUCAGCUUGCCGGUUUUUGGUGGGCAUCACGGGUGUGAUAACUAUCUACGCUUGUGGUUUUCCACCAGGGUAACCUUCAGCAGUGGAGGUUCACUGGAGCUUACAAAUGUCUCUCCUCUGUGAGGACAGCCCUUUGAAUGUUUGAUCUCAAAUCAGGUAGGACUACCCGCUGAACUUAAGCAUAUCAAUAAGCGGAGGA